rnacentral:rRNA from 1 species
GACGAACGCUGGCGGCGUGCCUAAUACAUGCAAGUAGAACGCACAGUUUAUACCGUAGCUUGCUACACCAUAGACUGUGAGUUGCGAACGGGUGAGUAACGCGUAGGUAACCUGCCUGGUAGCGGGGGAUAACUAUUGGAAACGAUAGCUAAUACCGCAUAAUAUUGAUUAUUGCAUGAUAAUUAAUUGAAAGGUGCAAUUGCACCACUACCAGAUGGACCUGCGUUGUAUUAGCUAGUAGGUGAGGUAACGGCUCACCUAGGCGACGAUACAUAGCCGACCUGAGAAGGUGAUCGGCCACACUGGGACUGAGACACGGCCCAGACUCCUACGGGAGGCAGCAGUAGGGAAUCUUCGGCAAUGGACGAAAGUCUGACCGAGCAACGCCGCGUGAGUGAAGAAGGUUUUCGGAUCGUAAAGCUCUGUUGUAAGAGAAGAACGGGUGUGAGAGUGGAAAGUUCACACUGUGACGGUAUCUUACCAGAAAGGGACGGCUAACUACGUG